rnacentral:lncRNA from 1 species
UUUUUUCUUCUCAGAUCCCAUAAUCCAUUUACAUAAUCAUAAACUCUGUAAUUGAACAGAUUAAAGAAUAGGCUGCCAUACAAACAUUACAACAAUCUUAGUAAUGUAGCUCUUGUGACAUUUCACAAAAAUGGCAUUUUUCUACACUUUGAGUACAAGAUUUCCUACAGAAGAUUUGUGCUGAAGCUUGAAACCCGUAAAACAAAAGACAAGACAAGCAAAUAAGGGUUAGAAACCAAAGCUCUAAGAACCAGAAUUCAAAAUGUGAUAAUCCUAUGAUGUUGAGCUACGCAUCUUAGCACAUUGGAAAGUGUCUCUCACUCUAUGAAUAUAAUUUCAAAACACGAUUUUAGUCUGCAAAACAAUUAGAAUCAAGUCGAUGGAACAAUGGCAUCUGAGAUUUUUUUUUCGAGAAUGCAGCGACUCGAGAUGGCAUCUCAGUUCGGCCUAGGAAGCAUGCGAGGCAGUGAAAAUUGGUGAGGCGCAAAUGCGUGAGCAUGUAGGGCGUUCUCCGUCUCUAUGUCAGAUUAUUCACGCCUCUAUACAAAUCAAUUUGGUUUACUAUCCUUAACAGUAUAAAGUUCAAAUCACUUUCCUCCCAAAUUAUUUACUUUUCGCAAUAUUGGUAUCUUCAGACCCAAAUAACAAAAUACUAUUACUAAGUAAAUUCAAGAGAGGUAAUGCAUGUAGAAAUACUAAGAAAUUAAGUGCCCCUUCAUGUGUGGACUGGUAGUAGGUUUUUACAAAAUAAAAAUUGCACUAUAUACAAAGAUAUCAGAGAAUUUGAAACUGACAUGCAUCCUAACAAGAGAAAAAAUAUCCCCAAACUCACAUGGGUAAGCAAAUUAAUUGUGGAUACGUAGAUCCUUUUACGUGUGCAUAGAAAUAACAAUAUAAAUGAAUCAACCAAGCCCCAGCAUGCUGACCUUAUAGAUGACUGCAAGGAAUUGUUUCUCUUGUUUCAUUGUGAUAGUGGAUAGGAUCAUCUCCUUUCUAGUGCCUACAAAGCAAAGACCAAUUGACAUAAGAUUGGAAACAGGCUAUGCCGCUAAGAAAGUGAGCUAGACGGGGUUGCUGACGGCAGAGACAUGCUAUAUGUACCAAGUAUGUAGACUGUAGUGAAGAAAUGCAUCAUGUUUAACAUCAGGACAUGCUAUGUAUUAAAUUGACAUUAAUAAUUUCCAGGCAGGCAAAUUCAAGAAAAAAUCUGCGUGAAUCUGAAUUGCACACUAAAUGAUUCAGAAUUGAAUCUAAGAACAAAACUAAGAGUGGUCCUCCAUCUAAACAAUCCAGAAGUACUCGUUAAACUGGAAUUAUUUAUCACCUUCACUUAGCUAUAGUAACUCUGAAGACUGAAUUUCAGAAACAACAAUUCUAAUAAUCAUUACAAGGGAAAUUACUCAUAUUCUUGUUUGAGGCUAUCGGUAGUAAGACUGGCGGGGUUUCCUUUGUUUUUAUUUCUUGGUGAAAUCCGACUAUCAACUCUCGAUGAGGAUAACUGGAAGUAGCUAACCAGCAGACUCGUAGCAACAACAAUGUGAAGUUUAUGGAUAUAUGACAUUUCUCAUUGCAAUUAAUGCCACUAAAUUUAUUGAUCCAUCAAAAUCAUGCAUAAGUACAAAAUAAAAUGAAUCUGAGUUGAGGGGAAUAAGGAUCAAACGAAAGAAUGAAUGGAUCGCGCACAUACCAUUCAUAAGUUCUUCUCUGGUUGGAAAUGGAACCCAG